GACAGAGGUGCCAAGCGUUAGGCGGAAUCACUGGGCUUAAAGCGUGUGUAGGCGGAUUGAUAAGUACCUUGUGAAAUCCCCCGGCUCAACCGGGGAACUGCUGGGUAUACUGUCGAUCUUGAGCCACCUAGGGGCAGCUGGAACAAACGGUGGAGCGGUGAAAUGCGUAGAUAUCGUUUGGAACGCCAAAGGUGAAAACAGGCUGCUGGGGGUGUGCUGACGCUGAGACACGAAAGCUAGGGGAGCGAACGGG
rnacentral:rRNA from 1 species